AUUAUUAUUGCAAGGUGCACAGGUCAGAGUUUUCUCACUUCCCAACAUGUUUAGAAAUAUCAAAAGCAGCUCCCUAGACAACAGUUAAAAGUGGUGUUGGCUCUAGAUCUGACUAAUGAGGUCGGGAAUAAGGGUAUUUAUGGGGAUUAUUUGCCUCCAGGAGGGAGAGUUCAAAAUGCCAUCAACAGCAAAAACGCAGCCAUGCAAAAAACAAAAUUUCGUCAUUUAGUGCAGUGGUAAAUUCUUAUUAAGUCGAUCAGACAGAUUCCACUUCAGUAAUCAGCCACUGGAAGAGAGUUCAGGAUGAGUCAAUGCUAUUUCAGCCUGCAGGCGAAGUUUAUGGACCUAGCAGACAGGGGCAAUGAUGUAUGAUUAAAAUCAGGGCCAUUUUCAGUUCUCCUCGUGGUGCUCUCACACAUGCACAAAAGGCAUGAGAACAAGCAGCCAUUCUGGAGCAGCCGUCCUGAGAGUGCUAGAGCUCUGAGUACACCAGUAGCACUCAUAUAACCCCACCUUCUAUUACCACUAAGUACUGAUGCGGAUUUUCCACCUGAAAAGAUGCUUUGAUGCUAACAGUAAUCAUCCCCGGAGGUUUUAGUAGCUCCGCUCUCACCGGAAACGCAUCUUUGGCGCCCAGAACCCGAACACAACUGCCGCUGUUAUAUGCCGCGGCAAUAAUAAACCCACUCACCCCAAGAAUUAUGGGGGCGGGAGCCACGCAGAGACCGCGGCGAGUAAUGAGAUCUGUCUACUUUAACAAGGCAGGGAGAACAAUUAAUUUUCUGGAUUCGAUCUAUUAAAUCUAUCUAUGAUGCCCACUAAAACACGCAUAGUGUUGGGCUUUUCGUCAUUGAGGAAAGCAUCGGAGUUUGACCUUCCAGGUUACAGCGAGCGUGCCUGUAUGUUUGGAAGAGGCACUACGGCGGCGCCGGUCUCCUUUAUUCUUUCUUUUCUUUUAAAGCAAGCAACAAUCAAAACCGAGGCUCGUCGCGGCUGGGGAUAUCCGCCAGAAAGGAGGGCUUAGCAGGCAGGAAAAACAACGUCCUGAAUUCGCUCACCCACGUCCCCCGAUGCCGAUUCUGUCCGGCGCCUUCCGCUUUCCAGCCAUGUGUCCCUGCUCCCCGGAGCCGUGACAGCGGACCGGGACUGUGGGCGACUCCCAUCGGGCGCCCACCGCCGGCCCAUAGGGGACCCCUGCACCUUGGGUAGGAGUAGGGGCCGAAUCUCGGGGAGCAAUAGGGAGCGACAGUGAGCUGCUGGGCCGAUGGCUCCCUGUGCCUCGGACCUUGCUGCCAGCCAGGCAGUCAGGAAAGAGCUACCGAAAACGGAGCACUCGGCUGGCAGCCCUUUCUGCAUCAGUCGGGCACCCAAUGCGAGUCUCCAGGAGGGUCGCUCACAGGUUCUCAGUGGCAGUGCCACUUAGAGCCUAAAAAAGUGGGACGAGUUCCGUGAGAAGAGACGUCUGCUCCGCUUCCCUCAAGAGUCGUGCUCCUCGCACAACAGGCGCUCUCCUCGAGGUGCAGACACGCAUUCCUUAGAGGCUGGGAAAGGAGGGAGCACAGCUUCAGCAGCAGAGAAAGGCUGCAGUUGCCUCCAGUUAACUCUUAUCGGGCUCAGUGUGGCCGUGGCUUCGCUAAAGGGUCUGACCUAACUAGACGCUGCGGGCAGGGAGCUCAGCCCUUGCCCGGACGACUCCGCGGCUGUUCUUCCCCGCGGAGGCUCCCCGGCCCCUUUAUCAUGUCCCGAAGCCGGCGGCGGGGAUCAGCUGGGGCUCGAAGCGACUGCGCAUGGGGCCUGUCAGUCGGCGCCUCGUGGGGCUCGCGGGGCUGCGCGGCCGCGCUGGGGAGGCUCGAGGGCGGAGAUUAGAGGACAAAAAAAGCCUGUAGGCAGGAUCUCGCUGUCGCCCGACAUCAACUCAUCCGGCUAUAGAUAACGUGCCCUUCGCCCAAGUCCCUCGGCCACGGCAGUGUCUCGUGGACCUGGAGACUCCGUAUAAGGGGGAGCCUGGGGGGCAGGGACAGCCCGCGCUCUGGAGCCGCUGGACCGUCUCGUUUCCCGAGGGAGGGUAUGGGACGUUCCCCAGCGCCGUCCCGGGCUACAGAGAAGCGUAACAGCCGGCCUUCGAGGACUCCUUCCGCGCCCGGGGAGUAGAGCAUGACUGUAGCCGACCUUUCAUCUGUGUCCUACGUGAAAAUUGAGGCCGGUGUAGUAGAGUUCCAGCAAGUAGCAGAGAAUGAAAUAGCGUCCAUGCUGCUUCUCCUGGAGAAGCAGACAGAGCAGCCUUUCUCAGCAGUAGGUCCGUCCCGCAGGUGCAUUUUCAUCAAUGCGCUUUAAGACACCAAGUUUUCAAAAGCCGAGUAACACCAGACUGGCGAGGGAGUCCCUCGGUGCGCAACGUGACCACAAAUUCAGCGUGAUUUCACAUCAGGCCUCGCACAAAGGCAGGUGUGUGUGUCCCCCUCGGCCUCGCAGCCCUGGGGGGACACUCAGCUUCCGAGGCGGGGACAGACCUGCCGGGUCCCGGCGCGCACCGCAGCCGUCGGGGGAUGCACGUCGGAGGCAGCUGCAGGAGAUCCUGGUCCCUCCCCGCGGACGGGGUGUUUAGCACCACCUACGUGACUUGGCAGCAUAGAUCCCACGGACUCCGGAGACGAGCCGAGUUUCUAACAUACAUGGGCUGCUUUUGAAACCUCACUCUUCCGCGUUGAUCACUGGGCUUGGAAUCAUCAUCUGGCGGCCAAACGACUGAAGAUUCACCUGAGCAAUUUUACUACGUUGAGCACUUCCACUGAUGCCAAGCAAAUGUCCACAGGAUCAGUCCCAGCAAUAACAACUGCCAGGGUGGGAAUGAAAGGUAUAGCAUACAAAUCCAGACACAGGGGGAAUCUGCCCGUAUUUUGCCCGCUGUGACUGUUCAUUAAACCGCUUUAAAAUAGG